GCUUAUCAAUAUUUCUACUUCCUAGCGUUAGUAUUGAAAGUGUGAUCUAAUAAGAUGACGAGGUCCUUUUUGGAGUGUGUGUGUGUGUGUGUGUAAAUGAAUGGCUUUGAGCAUAUUUGUGGAAAUCUUGCUUUAAAUCUCUCACAUGAAAGAACCAUACAAAAAUUACAGAUCCACCUUAAAUCUAGUAAACAGAUUUUACGAGAUCCAAGCAAUUCAACAACUGCUUAUAACCGAAAUAACUGUAGCAUGUAUAUAUAUAUAAAUAUAAAUAAAUGUGUGGAGAUGUAAGAAGUUCACAUCAAGGAGAGAAAUCGUUCGAAAUUCCUCUGCAGAAAGGAAGAGAGAAGAGAUCGUGAUUUUAUGAUUCUCUCUCUCUCUGGCUCGAUAAGGCCGCCGUCUUCCUUCUCCUAACGCAGAGGAGAAGCUAAACAGAAGCAACAACAAAAAACCAGAGGGCCAGAAAAAUGGAGAUGAUUAGCAAAGCAUUGGUUGUCAUAAUGGUGAUGGCGUUAGCCACCACCGUUGCCACCGCCAGUGCGACGCCUCCAACCACCAACGAUGGUACAACAAUAGAUCAAGGUGUCGCAUACGUUCUAAUGUUCCUCGCUUUGGUGCUCACUUACAUAAUUCAUUAGAUUGACAAAUCUAGUGAAUUUAUUUACUACUCCUAAAUAUUAUGAAACUUGAUGAUCAAGAAGAUGAAGAAAUUAAUCAAAUUAGAGGACCUGGUUUCUAGCUAGUGGUUCUGUUUAUCCAAAUGAAAGAGGAACAAAUAUUUGCAUUCUCUUUAUUAUGGGGUGAUUUGAUCCACAUUUUAGAAUUUUAUUUUUAUCCACAUUUGUGUCGUAGGAUUAGUAAAAUCGACUCCACGGGUAGUCAUGUAGUUUAUUCUUGACUAUCAAUUAGAUGCAUAGAAUUUGUAUCAGACUUUGGAUUUUGAGAUUAAUGUGAUGUAAUAAUUUGAACGAUA